AUAAAGUAAGCUAAUACAAGCUAGUGGGUUCAUACCCCAAAUAUGAAUUGUUUCCUUUAUU
rnacentral:tRNA from 1 species